rnacentral:rRNA from 1 species
GUUGAACGCUGGCGGCGGGCUUAACACAUGCAAGUUGAACGAAGUGGCGGAUGGGCGAGUAACACGUGAGGAAACUGCCUUUCACAGGGGAAUAACACUGGGAAACCAGUGCUAAUACCGCAUAGUGAAAGUUUGCCUCGCGCCUGAUUAGCUAGUAGGUGAGCUAACGGCUCACCUAGGUGAUGAUCAGUAGCCGAACUGAAGGUUGAGCGGCCGCGUUGGGACUGAGACACGGCCCAGACUCCUGCGGGAGGCAGCAGUGGGGAAUGUUGGGCAAUGGCGCAAGCCUGACCCAGCAACGCCGCGUGAAGGAAAACGGUCUUCGGAUUGUAAACUUCUUUAGACAGGGACGCGGUACCUGUAGAAUAGGCCACGGCUAACUACGUGCCAGCAGCCGCGGUAAUAC